AGCCUGUGAUGAGCCUUUCUCUAUUUCUGACAUCUCCACUGAAAGUGUUGCAUUCAGCAAUAUUUGAUUAGAGUUUUCUGGCUGAGGCUC